rnacentral:rRNA from 2 species
GCGAACUGGUGAGUAACACGUGGGAAACCUGCCCAGAAGCGGGGGAUAACACCUGGAAACAGAUGCUAAUACCGCAUAACAACUUGGACCGCAUGGUCCGAGCUUGAAAGAUGGCUUCGGCUAUCACUUUUGGAUGGUCCCGCGGCGUAUUAGCUAGAUGGUGGGGUAACGGCUCACCAUGGCAAUGAUACGUAGCCGACCUGAGAGGGUAAUCGGCCACAUUGGGACUGAGACACGGCCCAAACUCCUACGGGAGGCAGCAGUAGGGAAUCUUCCACAAUGGACGAAAGUCUGAUGGAGCAACGCCGCGUGAGUGAAGAAGGGUUUCGGCUCGUAAAACUCUGUUGUUAAAGAAGAACAUAUCUGAGAGUAACUGUUCAGGUAUUGACGGUAUUUAACCAGAAAGCCACGGCUAACUACGUGCCAGCAGCCGCGGUAAUACGUAGGUGGCAAGCGUUGUCCGGAUUUAUUGGGCGUAAAGCGAGCGCAGGCGGUUUUUUAAGUCUGAUGUGAAAGCCUUCGGCUCAACCGAAGAAGUGCAUCGGAAACUGGGAAACUUGAGUGCAGAAGAGGACAGUGGAACUCCAUGUGUAGCGGUGAAAUGCGUAGAUAUAUGGAAGAACACCAGUGGCGAAGGCGGCUGUCUGGUCUGUAACUGACGCUGAGGCUCGAAAGUAUGGGUAGCAAACAGGAUUAGAUACCCUGGUAGUCCAUACCGUAAACGAUGAAUGCUAAGUGUUGGAGGGUUUCCGCCCUUCAGUGCUGCAGCUAACGCAUUAAGCAUUCCGCCUGGGGAGUACGGCCGCAAGGCUGAAACUCAAAGGAAUUGACGGGGGCCCGCACAAGCGGUGGAGCAUGUGGUUUAAUUCGAAGCUACGCGAAGAACCUUACCAGGUCUUGACAUACUAUGCAAAUCUAAGAGAUUAGACGUUCCCUUCGGGGACAUGGAUACAGGUGGUGCAUGGUUGUCGUCAGCUCGUGUCGUGAGAUGUUGGGUUAAGUCCCGCAACGAGCGCAACCCUUAUUAUCAGUUGCCAGCAUUAAGUUGGGCACUCUGGUGAGACUGCCGGUGACAAACCGGAGGAAGGUGGGGAUGACGUCAAAUCAUCAUGCCCCUUAUGACCUGGGCUACACACGUGCUACAAUGGAUGGUACAACGAGUUGCGAACUCGCGAGAGUAAGCUAAUCUCUUAAAGCCAUUCUCAGUUCGGAUUGUAGGCUGCAACUCGCCUACAUGAAGUCGGAAUCGCUAGUAAUCGCGGAUCAGCAUGCCGCGGUGAAUACGUUCCCGGGCCUUGUACACACCGCCCGUCACACCAUGAGAGUUUGUAACACCCAAAGUCGGUGGG